rnacentral:rRNA from 1 species
GCUUGCACCGCUGACGACCGGCGCACGGGUGCGUAACGCGUAUACAAUCUACCUUAUAGAGGGGAAUAGCCCAGAGAAAUUUGGAUUAAUGCCCCAUAGUAUUAUUGAAUAGCAUUAUUUAAUAAUUAAACAUUUAUGGCUAUAAGAUGAGUAUGCGUUCUAUUAGCUAGAUGGUAAGGUAACGGCUUACCAUGGCUACGAUAGAUAGGGGUCCUGAGAGGGAGAUCCCCCACACUGGUACUGAGACACGGACCAGACUCCUACGGGAGGCAGCAGUGAGGAAUAUUGGACAAUGGGCGGGAGCCUGAUCCAGCCAUGCCGCGUGCAGGAAGACGGCCCUAUGGGUUGUAAACUGCUUUUACAGAGGAAGAAACACCCCGACGUGUCGGGACUUGACGGUACUCUGCGAAUAAGGAUCGGCUAACUCCGUGCCAGCAGCCGCGGUAAUACGGAGGAUCCAAGCGUUAUCCGGAAUCAUUGGGUUUAAAGGGUCCGUAGGCGGGACAAUCAGUCAGCGGUGAAAGUCUGUGGCUCAACCAUAGAAUUGCCAUUGAUACUGUUGUUCUUGAAUACUUAUGAAGUGGUUGGAAUAUGUAGUGUAGCGGUGAAAUGCAUAGAUAUUACAUAGAACACCGAUUGCGAAGGCAGAUCACUAAUAAUUUAUUGACGCUGAUGGACGAAAGCGUAGGUAGCGAACAGGAUUAGAUACCCUGGUAGUCUACGCCGUAAACGAUGGUUACUAGCUGUUCGGUCGCAAGACUGAGUGGCUAAGCGAAAGUGAUAAGUAACCCACCUGGGGAGUACGUUCGCAAGAAUGAAACUCAAAGGAAUUGACGGGGGCCCGCACAAGCGGUGGAGCAUGUGGUUUAAUUCGAUGAUACGCGAGGAACCUUACCAGGGCUUAAAUGUAGUUUGACCGAUUUGGAAACAGAUCUUUCGCAAGACAAAUUACAAGG